rnacentral:rRNA from 1 species
GAUGAACGCUGGCGGCGUGCCUAAUACAUGCAAGUCGAGCGAACAGACGAGGAGCUUGCUCCUCUGACGUUAGCGGCGGACGGGUGAGUAACACGUGGAUAACCUACCUAUAAGACUGGGAUAACUUCGGGAAACCGGAGCUAAUACCGGAUAAUAUAUUGAACCGCAUGGUUCAAUAGUGAAAGACGGUUUUGCUGUCACUUAUCGAUGGAUCCGCGCCGCAUUAGCUAGUUGGUAAGGUAACGGCUUACCAAGGCAACGAUGCGUAGCCGACCUGAGAGGGUGAUCGGCCACACGGGAGCUGGGACGCGGUCCAGACUCCUACGGGAGGCAGCAGUAGGGAAUCUUCGGCAAUGGGCGAAAGCCUGACGGAGCAACGCCGCGUGAGUGAUGAAGGUCUUCGGAUCGUAAAGCUCUGUUAUGAGGGAAGAACAAAUGUGGAAGUAACUAUGCACGUCUUGACGGUACCUAAUCAGAAAGCCACGGCUAACUACGUG